rnacentral:rRNA from 1 species
AACGAACGCUGGCGGCGUGGAUAAGACAUGCAAGUCGAACGGGACAACAUCUGUAGCAAUACAGGUGUUGUUUAGUGGCGAACGGGUGCGUAACACGUGGGCAAUCUGCCGAGAAGUGGGGGAUAGCUCGCCGAAAGGCGAAUUAAUACCGCAUAUGAUCAGCUAAGACAUCUUAGCGACAUCAAAGCCGGGGCAACCUGGCGCUUUUUGAGGGGCCCGCGGCCUAUCAGCUAGUUGGUGAGGUAACGGCUCACCAAGGCUAUGACGGGUAGCUGGUCUGAGAGGACGACCAGUCACACUGGAACUGAGACACGGUCCAGACACCUACGGGUGGCAGCAGUCGAGUAAUUUUUCUCAAUGGGGCAACCCUGAAGGAGCGACGCCGCGUGGAGGAUGAAGGC